rnacentral:rRNA from 1 species
UACGUAGGGUGCAAGCGUUAAUCGGAAUUACUGGGCGUAAAGCGUGCGCAGGCGGUUUUGUAAGUCUGACGUGAAAUCCCCGGGCUCAACCUGGGAAUUGCGUUGGAGACUGCAAGGCUAGAAUCUGGCAGAGGGGGGGUAGAAUUCCACGUGUAGCAGUGAAAUGCGUAGAGAUGUGGAGGAACACCGAUGGCGAAGGCAGCCCCCUGGGUCAAGAUUGACGCUCAU